rnacentral:rRNA from 1 species
GACGAACGCUGGCGGCGUGCUUAACACAUGCAAGUCGAACGGUGAAGCGCCUUCCUUUUUGGUGGGUGUGGAUGAGUGGCGAACGGGUGAGUAACACGUGAGUAACCUGCCCCCUUCUUCUGGAUAACCGCAUGAAAGUGUGGCUAAUACGGGAUAUUCUGGGUCUGUCGCAUGAUGGGUCUGGGAAAGAUAUUGUUUCGGUGGGGGAUGGGCUCGCGGCCUAUCAGCUUGUUGGUGGGGUGAUGGCCUACCAAGGCGGUGACGGGUAGCCGGCCUGAGAGGGUGGACGGUCACACUGGGACGGAGACACGGCCCAGACUCCUACGGGAGGCAGCAGUGGGGAAUAGUGCACAAUGGGCGCAAGCCUGAUGCAGCGACGCCGCGUGAGGGAUGGAGGCCUUCGGGUUGUGAACCUCUUUCGCCAGUGAAGCAGGCCUGCCUCGUUUGUGGGUGGGUUGACGGUAGCUGGAGAAGAAGCGCCGGCUAACUACGUG